rnacentral:misc_RNA from 1 species
CUGGGUUUCGGACCUCGUGUCCACUCACCCGCCCUUUGUCAUAUACAUCCACAUCAUUUCGGCCCCUGAUCCCCAGACGCCCCCGCUGUUAACUCAGUGGGGUACCGCCUGUUGGUCGCGGGUCGGCAUUGCAAACCCACGCGGAUUACUGAAGUCUGAUACAAUUUUUUAAACGAAAUUA